rnacentral:lncRNA from 10 species
GUUAAAACUUUUUUUUUUUUCAGAGACAGGGUCUCACCAUGUUUCCCAGGCUGGUUUCGAACUCCUGAACUCAAGUGAUCCACCCACCAAUGCCUCCCAAAGUGCUGGGAUUACAGGUGUGAACCACAGCACCCAGCCAGUUAGAACUUUUUUUGAUUUCUAUGCAUGGAAACCCAUCUUUAAAUAAUUUAGUCAGGCAAUGGGAAUUUAUUGGAGGUGGAUUCUCAUAACUGCGGGAAGAUGUGAAGUGCAGCUGGACUAUGAGGACAACUGAAUUGGGAACUUACAUUCUCUGCCAGUAGAAUUUCUCCCCAUCUCUCAUCUGCCACUCCAUGCUUCAUUCUCUUAAAAUGAUCUCUUUAACAGGUACAGAGACUGCACAGAAUCUCCCAGAAGACCUUAGUCAAUGCAGAAUUAAAUGGAAAAAUUCCACUUUUGUCAAAGGUGAAAAAUCUGGCUUUCCUUACAUGCAGAACCUCUAGAGACAUCAACAUGGUCUGUAUGAGCAACCUCAGCAAAAAAAAAAAAAAAGCCUCAUCUGAUAGACUGUCAGUCACAGAAAUAAUAAAGGAAAGAAAGAAGAGAGGAAGCUGUAUUUUAUUUUAAUAUAAUUACUCUUUUUGCUUUCCUAAUACGACAGUGUGAACAUACAUUGGGCUGUUUCUCAGUGACAAAACUGGCUACCAUGGCAAUAAAUGCUCUUUACUUACUUCUGGGUUUUAUAAGAUGUCGG